rnacentral:lncRNA from 1 species
CGGACCGAACAAAAAGAUUGAAACUUGUGUUUGGAAAGGCAAAGGGCCAGUGUCGCUCCCAGCAGGCUUCAGAAGGGUGGAGCACCAAUUUUGAAGGAAUGAAAAUCCUCCAGCAGUGUUAUCCUCAACAGCGUUAUCCCCAACUCAUAACAUUUUAACCCCCGACAGGUAAGUAAAUAAUUCCUCAGCAGUGUUAUCCCCAACAAGUUUUGAGGUAAGAAAUUUUCAAGUUUUAAGUAUAUGUCGGUUUCAUCCGCCUUCUAAUAGGAUAUGUCGGGUUCAUCCGCACUCGAAUAGGAUACGUCGGGUUCAUCCGCCCUCGAAUAGGAUAUGUUGGAUUCAUCCGCCCUCGAAUAGGAUAUGUCGGGUUCAUCCGCCCUCGAAUAGGAUAUGUCGGGUUCAUCCGCCCUCUAAUAGGAUAUGUCAGGUUCAUCCGCCCUCGAAUAGGAUACGUCGGGUU